AGAGUAUAGCUCAGUGGUAGAGCGCAUGCUUGGCAUGUAUGAGGUCCUGGGUUCAAUCUCCAGUAACUCUG
rnacentral:tRNA from 1 species